UAUGAGAUUCCACCUUUUCACGAGAAAUCCAAAAUCUUUUUUUUUUUCUUUUUCAAAUGAUCUGCCGAAUCCCUUCUCCAUUGAAAAUUUCCCCGCUAGUGUGGGAAAAGUAACGAAAUCCCAAGGACAUACGUUCAAGAUUCAUCUCGAUAACCCCAUGAACAGAGCUCAGCGUCUCUGCUCUGUGUCCACAGUCCAGCGAGGGAGGGGGUUGGGGCUCUUGUCGGAGCUCUAAUGGCUGUGCCUUCGAUUUCUUCCGAUCUUGCUCUUAACCCGCUCAGCCGCUCCACGAUGCCUUCGAAGCCCAAGCAGUCGGCUUUUUCUCUGUCCCAAAAUGUCUUAAAGCUGCAAGUCAAAAAAUCUGGACACUCAUGAAGGGCUUCUGCUGUUCCAGAGGUUAUUGAAUCCGAAGAAACCCUAGAAUCAGUACCACCAGAAACCACAUUGGGACCCGAUACCUUUGCGGUGGAGGAAUCUGAAGCCCACGGCUCCUCUACCUCUGCCACUGGUUUUGAUGACGACAAGGUGGUACCAAAGCAGAAGAGUAGAAUUAGACUGAGAUCUUACUGGGUGUGCCUGAUUGAAAUAGAUUCAUUGACGCAGCUCGACCUCCCUGCAGGUGUGGAUGUGGAGGUCCAACCAUGAUCUAACAUUGCAGCAGCAGAGAUGAAAGUAGCUUUUUGUUUUCUGUUUAAAGUCUCAUGUUGUCCUUGGAAACAGCCUUUUCUGCAAAGCAGAGGGUAGGAAUGCGUACAUACAUUUGCCCCUCCCAGAGGCCAAACCCUUGCAAUAGCGGGAGCCUCGUGCACUGGGUUGCUCUUCUGUUGGCAGGUGUAAUGCUUUACAGAAUUUUGUGAUUUGGACCAUGUGGUUUGAGAAUAUCUUUAGGGAAAGAAAGUAUAGUGCAAUGAAAGAUUAAAGCAAUUGCUUAUUUCCUGGUCAUCACUUCAAAUGAUAUUUUCAUAUUUGGAUCAUGAAUUCAAUUAGAGGAAUGAUGUUAACACAAA